rnacentral:rRNA from 1 species
UACGAAGGGAGCAAGCGUUAUUCGGAAUUAUUGGGCGUAAAGCGUGCGCAGGCGGCUUGGUAAGUUGACGGCGAAAUCCCAGGGCUCAACCCUGGAAUGGCCUUCAAAACUGCCGAGCCAGAGUCUUGGAGAGGAUAGCAGAAUUCCUAGUGUAGAGGUGAAAUUCGUAGAUAUUAGGAGGAAUACCGGAGGCGAAAGCGGCUAUCUGGACAAGUACUGACGCUGUUGCACGAAAGCGUGGGGAGCAAACAGG